UUACCAACAGGGUAAGGGAUAUACCAUGAUCACAAAGGUGGAUUUCCCAAGGCAAGGCUUAUCCAUCUCACUCUGGAUGUGCUGACCCCUCCCAUUUUUCCAAAUGAGGGAAACCCAGCAGCAUAAUAUGUGGUAGUGGGGAACUGUGUUUGUGCUCUCCCAU
ensembl:snRNA U1 U1 spliceosomal RNA